UUUAAAAACCAGUGCGGUAGG
rnacentral:misc_RNA from 1 species